rnacentral:rRNA from 1 species
CCUACGGGAGGCAGCAGUGAGGAAUAUUGGUCAAUGGACGAGAGUCUGAACCAGCCACGUCGCGUGAAGGAUGACUGCCCUCUGGGUUGUAACCUUCUUUUAUAAAGGAAUAAAACGAGGCACGUGUGCCUUUUUGCAUGUACUUUAUGAAUAACGAUCGGCUAACUCCGUGCCAGCAGCCGCGGUAAUACGGAGGAUCCGAGCGUUAUCCGGAUUUAUUGGGUUUAAAGGUAGCGUAGAUGGGUUGUUAAGUCAGUUGUGAAAGUUUGCGGCUCAACCGUAAAAUUGCAAUUGAUACUGGCAGUCUUGAGUACAGUUGAGGUAAGCGGAAUUCGUGGUGUAGCGGUGAAAUGCGUAGAUAUCACGAAGAACCCCGAUUGCGAAGGCAGCUUACUAAACUGUGACUGACAUUGAUGCUCGAAAGUGUGGGUAUCAAACAGGAUUAGAUACCCGUGUAGUC